rnacentral:lncRNA from 1 species
UUGGAAUAGGUUCGUUGCAUCAUUUAUGACUUGUGUGCAAAAUUUGAGGUUAAGCAGAGUUGAUUUGAUAGGUUUCAGCAUCGACUGUAUAAGUUGGAAUGUAUUUCGUUAAGCUUGAAUUGACAAGUGAUUUGUGUGUUUGAUGUUGUUUAUGUGAUUUGAGGCAUCGACUAAGUUCAUAUAAUGUUUAGGACUUGUUGGUAUAUUUGGUUGAGGUCCCGAGGGCCUUGGGUGGAGUUCAGAUGGUUAAUGGACGAAGUUUGGACUCGAGGGAAUGCUGGAGUUUCAAUUCUGGUGCGAUCGCACCUACGAUGGAAUUGGUCGCAGGUGCGUGACUGCACAAGCGAUAGAAUGAGCGCAGAAGCAGUCUGGAAGAAAACUGGCAGUGAUCACAUCUGCGAUGAUUUAGUCCACACCUGCUAGAUCGUAGAUGUAGAAUAAGGUCGAAGGUACGAAGGGGCGUGUCGCAACUUUCUACACAGAAGCUGACGAUGCCUCGUAGAAGCGCACCCGCAGAUGCGGGACAUUGGCUGCAAGUGCGCAGGGUCGGGGGUUGAGUGGGC